GCUCCUCCCUCUCACUUGCAGCCAUGGAGGCGGUGCUGAUCGUCCUGUGCUCCCUGCUGGUGUCGGCAGCUGCAGCGGAUGUGGGUGCCCAAGAGAAGGAGGAAGACCCCUUUAACUAUGAUUACCAAAGCCUGCGGAUUGGUGG